rnacentral:rRNA from 1 species
UACGAGGGGGGCAAGCGUUGUUCGGAAUUAUUGGGCGUAAAGGGUGCGUAGGCGGUUUUGUAAGUCUUGUGUGAAAUCUUCAGGCUCAACUUGAAGACUGCACGAGAAACUGCAGGGCUUGAGUGUGGGAGAGGUGAGUGGAAUUCCUGGUGUAGCGGUGAAAUGCGUUGAUAUCAUCAGGAACACCGGAGGCGAAGGCGGCUUACUGGGGCCUUUCUGACGCUGAGGAACGAAAGCUAGGGGAGCGAACGGG